AGAGGAGGCAGGUAGCCUAGUGGUUAGAGUGUAGAGGAGGCAGGUAGCCUAGUGGUUAGAGUGUAGAGGUGGCAGGUAGCCUAGUGGUUAGAGUGUAGAGGCAGGUAGCCUAGUGGUUAGAGUGUAGAGGAGGCAGGUAGCCUAGUGGUUAGAGUGUAGAGGUGGCAGGUAGCCUAGUGGUUAGAGUGUAGAGGAGGCAGGUAGCCUAGUGGUUAGAGUGUAGAGGUGGCAGGUAGCCUAGUGGUUAGAGUGUAGAGGUGGCAGGUAGCCUAGUGGUUAGAGUGUAGAGGAGGCAGGUAGCCUAGUGGUUAGAGUGUAGAGGUGGCAGGUAGCCUAGUGGUUAGAGUGUAGAGGUGGCAGGUAUCCUAGUGGUUAGAGUGUAGAGGUGGCAGGUAGCCUAGUGGUUAGAGUGUAGAGGAGGCAGGUAGCCUAGUGGUUAGAGUGUAGAGGUGGCAGGUAGCCUAGUGGUUAGAGUGUAGAGGUGGC
ensembl:lncRNA